GCCGAAGUGGCGGAACUGGCAGACGCACUAGAUUCAGGGUCUAGCGCCCUCACGGGUGUCCGGGUUCAAAUCCCGGCUUCGGCACCA
rnacentral:tRNA from 6 species